UCCCCUAGUAACUGCGAGUGAAGAGGGAAAAGCUCAAAUUUAAAAUCUGGCAGCUUCGCUGUCCGAGUUGUAAAUUAGAGAAGUGUUACCCGUGUUGGACCGUGUACAAGUCUCCUGGAACGGAGCGUCAUAGAGGGUGAGAAUCCCGUCUUUGACACGGACUACCAAUGCAUUGUGGUACACUCUCAAAGAGUCGUGUUGUUUGGGAAUGCAGCACUAAAUGGGUGGUAAAUUCCAUCUAAAGCUAAAUAUUGGCGAGAGACCGAUAGCGAACAAGUACCGUGAGGGAAAGAUGAAAAGAACUUUGGAAAGAGAGUUAAACAGUACGUGAAAUUGUUGAAAGGGAAACGCUUAAAGUCCAGUCGCGUUGGGUGGAAAUCAGUCUCGCUCUUUUGCUUGAUGUACUUUCUACUUGAUGGGUCAACAUCAGUUUUGACCGUUGGAUAAAGGUUGGGGGAAUGUGGCACCUUCGGGUGUGUUAUAGCCCUUGAUUGUAUACAACGGUUGGGACUGAGGCAUCACGCCGCARGGCGCUKGGAUGUUGACAUAAUGGCUUUAAUCGACCCGUCUUGAAACACGGACCAAGGAGUCUAACAUGCUUGCGAGUAUUUGGGUGGUAAACUCAUAUGCGCAAUGAAAGUGAAAGUUGAGAACUCGUUAGAGUGCAUCGACGCCCAUACCAGAUGUUUUACUGACGGCUAUGCGGUAGAGCAAGUAUGUUGGGACCCGAAAGAUGGUGAACUAUGCCUGAAUAGGGUGAAGCCAGAGGAAACUCUGGUGGAGGCUCGUAGCGAUNCUGACGUGCAAAUCGAUCGUCAAAUUUGGGUAUAGGGGCGAAAGA
rnacentral:rRNA from 1 species